UACGUAGGUGGCAAGCGUUGUCCGGAUUUACUGGGCGUAAAGAGCGCGCAGGCGGUCGAUUAAGUCGAGUGUGAAAGCCCCCGGCUCAACUGGGGAGGGUCACUUGAUACUGGUCGACUCGAAGGCAGGAGAGGGAAGUGGAAUUCCCGGUGUAGUGGUGAAAUGCGUAGAUAUCGGGAGGAACACCAGUGGCGAAGGCAGGUCUCUGGGCAUUAACUGACGCUGAGGAGCGAAAGCAUGGGGAGCGAACAGG
rnacentral:rRNA from 1 species